rfam:Aedes aegypti strain Liverpool supercont1.679 genomic scaffold, whole genome shotgun sequence.
CCUUGGGCCCUUUUCAGGGCCACCGAAUGUACGUAAAAAAGUUGAG